rnacentral:miRNA from 1 species
AUAAUACAACCUGCUAAGUGCU